GGCUCAGGACGAACGCUGGCGGCGUGCCUAAUACAUGCAAGUCGAACGGUCUUUCUAUGGAAGCUUGCUUCCACUGAGAAGAUAGUGGCGAACGGGUGAGUAACACGUGGGUAACCUGCCCAUAAGAGGGGGAUAACAUCCGGAAACGGGUGCUAAUACCGCAUAGUUUCUUGAUCGCAUGAUCGGGAAAGGAAAGACGGCCUUUGUGCUGUCGCUUGUGGAUGGACCCGCGGCGUAUUAGUUAGUUGGUGAGGUAACGGCUCACCAAGACGAUGAUACGUAGCCGACCUGAGAGGGUGAUCGGCCACAUUGGGACUGAGACACGGCCCAAACUCCUGCGGGAGGCAGCAGUAGGGAAUCUUCCGCAAUGGACGAAAGUCUGACGGAGCAACGCCGCGUGAGUGAAAGAAGGUUUUCGGAUCGUAAAACUCUGUUGUCAGAGAAGAACAAGUUGGAGAGUAACUGCUCCAGCCUUGACGGUAUCUGACCAGAAAGCCACGGCUAACUACGUGCCAGCCGCGGC
rnacentral:rRNA from 1 species